AAGUGCGGCAUAGCCUUGGCCGUGACCCCGGUUUCCUGUGUUGCGUACCUACACGAUGGCAUUCGUUUGUCCCAACGUCCCUCGUUCGUUUAGUGGUCCGUUUCUAAGCGGUUCACGAGACGAAAGUCGCAGCAUGACCCGUUACCCGCGUCGCAUCUAUGCCGUCGCGGUGAACAGGGCAUCGCUCGAGCUCUUGGAUACGGAAAGCACUGAGGGCAUUGAGGUCUCGCGGCCUCUUAUCGUUGCCCGAGCAUGCAUCAGACGUGAACGAUGCACGACCGUCGCUCCCGUCUCGGCCCGGCCGUGCGGUGACGACGUCGUUCAGGAAUGCUACCUGGUUGAUCCUGCCAG
rnacentral:misc_RNA from 1 species